AGUGGCUCCUCAUGUGGCGCUAUCUUGUGGAAUCCCCCAGGGCAGGAAUGCAGCAAGGGCACAUAAGCUCUGGCGGGUGCGUGAGGAGUCUUUAUU
rnacentral:SRP_RNA from 1 species